GGCGAGGAAAUGAGCCAGAACAGUUUCAUAAAGCAGUAUCUGGAAAAGCAGCAGGAGCUACUUAGGCAGCGUCUGGAACGUGAAGCCCGAGAAGCUGCAGAACUUGAAGAAGCUUCAGCUGAGUCGGAGGACGAGAUGAUCCAUCCUGAGGGAGUGGCUUCCCUGCUGCCUCCUGACUUUCAGAGCAGCCUGGAGAGACCAGAGCUGGAGCUCAGCAGACAUUCGCCCAG